AUUAUAUAAAAUCAAGUGUGAAGAAUUUAGUAUGGAAAUGUCAAAUACCAGUUAAAUGUUAGCCAUCAUUACUGUCCUCAGCAAUCAUUAUAAAGCUUCAAAUUUAUGAUUAUUUUCUCAGAAUAGGAUCAUAUAAGUGAAAUCCCAGGGCUCAUUUAAAAAACCCUGCUCUCUAAGUUACAAGUAGCAAAAAACAUUCUUGGCUCUUUUCCAGUCCCUAUUCUGAUACUGGGAGCCCAAUGUGGUUCAUCAGGUUUUGCUCUGAUGCCUUGGUCUGAUGCCUCUGAGAGCUCCCUGGCUCUAUGCUUCCCAUUCUCUCCAACUAACCCCAUCAGUCUUGUGAUUUCUCUCCUACUGGGAGAUGGACUGUGUAGCCUUGGAUAAAAACAGUGGACAAAAAGAGCAAUGAGUGAUAAUGAAUGUUAUUCUUCCUCAUAGGUAACAUAGCUGCCUUUUCCUAUGGAUCGCUAAUGUCUAAACACAGAGAAUUGGAAUAUGGGGUCUUCGGGAUUCUCUAGAAAGUCCAAUUGGGAAAAAUUGUUGGUAUUUGUGUGUUCAAAUCUACAGACCAAUUUGCAUGUAGUUAUGUUGCCUGAAUUUCUUAACAGGGUGGACAAGGUCCUCUGUUCUUUAUCCCUAUAUACUUCUCCAGCUUUGUCUCUUGCUACCACCACCCUGCAAUGUGAUGCUAAAAUCAUACAGCUGUUCUUGCUGUCUUCUCAAAUGUGCCAUGCCUUCUCUCCCACAAGGCUUUGCACAUCAUGUUCUCCUGCCUUGAACCCUCUCUGCUUACCCCUGCCUCCUUCAUUUGGCUAACUCGUACUUAUGAUCCAGGCAUCCUCUUGAACACUACAUCUUCCUGGAAGUUUUCCUGUCCCCAUGUCGGAGUUUGGUGCUCCAUGGUUAAGCUCCCAUGGCACCCUGUCAUUACCCUUACUGGAUCUAAAUUGCCUGUUUAUUCGCCUUCGUCCUGAUCACACCAUGUGGCAGCCAUGGGGCCGCAUCGCUUUGAUCUCCCUUCAAGGAAGAACUGGCUAUUUAGCUGCAAGGAGUGCAGUUAGCUGACAGCUUCCAGCUGUUAAUGCCUUCAAGCUCUGCCUCAGCUUUCAAGCUGAAGCCAGGAUCUUUUUGGGUGGCCCCAGCCAAUGACUGAGUAUCACAGUGGCACCAGGGCCAACUCAGGACUCCUUUAGCAGGAAAUCUUUGGGUUGGCUGAGACUUCAUCAGAUCUCCACUGUGGUCUGAGGCUCUCUCUUCCUCAUCCUGCCUCCUCCCUCUUUCCUUUGACAGUUGUCAUAUCUGCUUUUUGGCAUAAGAGAUUCCCCUGUCCAAUCCUGCUUCCUCAGCUUUUCAUGUUCACAGCUUACUUUUCAAUGAUCCUCCUGAAAUCCUUCCUUUGUCACCUGCAUGUGCUUUCUGGAGAAUCUGAGUAACACCGACAAUGAGCUCUUUAAAAGUAGAAACUUCAUUCUUGUUCAAAUUGUACCUUCAGCUCCCAGAAGAACACACAGUAGGAUCUCAAUAAAUAUCUAUGAAAGGAUUGAAUGAAUGAAUGAACACUUAAGAUAGUGUUCAACAUUGAAUGAUGUUUUGAUCUUAUAUAAUUCACAGGUGCUGGUCAACAGUCAAGAACAUUCUGAUUUGAAGACUCAGAAUCGUUUAUAAAAUGCACUGCAAAAUGACAUAAUUACACAUUUUUCAAACACACAGAGGAGAAAACACACAGAAGGGGAGGAGGCAACAUGGCCACAGAGGCAGAAAUUGGAAAGAUGCAGCCACAAACCAAGGAAUGCUGGAGCUACCAGAAGCUGGAAGAGGACGCUGAAAGUCAUCCCUGCAGGAGGGCAAGAAAUACAAAAGAAAUGCAGGUCCUUUCCAGCAAGAAAUUUUUAUUCACGGCAUGGUCGGCUAGACGCAUAUCUGCAUUUGGAAAAGGAAGAGGCAGAGGCAGAAGACUACAUCUUUUCUGUUGACCAUGAGUGGUAGCAAGCCUGCUUCAUCACUCAUAGACUUCAGAGUUAACGGAGGCAAAAAAUUUCACCUUCUGAAGGGAGGUGGCCAUAUAAAAGAAUGGACACAGUAAUGGGAUAAAGAUGCUACAAUUGAGUUCUGCACAGAGUGAAGUGGAGCCCAGAAGAGUGACUCCAUCUAUAAAUGGAUCUCCAAAUGUUAAUAAGGACCCGCACAAAUGCGGCCACUUCCUUCCCUUGUAAAUUACAGCAUGGAGCCAGUUUUAUGGUGAUUAUUUCUUUCCAUGUUGGUUUUUCCUCCUGGAGUGGGAGUCCCUAGAAGGCAGGGGCUGGGUGGCACAUAUAGGAAAAUCUUUACAGAAAACAGAAGGUACCAAGAUGAGCAAGCAGGGUGGAGCUUCUGUAUCUUCCACUAGGGGUCAGUAAAACUUUUAUGAGAAUCCUACGAUGGCAUCUGGACUUAGAGAAGGGCAAUUUCGUUGUCACCCUUUGUCCCUCAGAAAACACCCACAAGAGGCUGUCCUAUCACCGAAAAGGAGCUCUUGUUCCAAGUUGUUAAACACACAUAAAAAGCACAGCCAAGUAUGACUUAGACUAGCAUGUCAGUAUAUCAAACAACAGAAUUAACAUCAGAGACAAAAGUCUCAGCUUAAAUGCACAGUUUUGACAAAUACUAAACAUUCUAUCUUGCCUAAUGGGCAAUCACCGGCUAACUGUCCAGUGAGUAGGGCUAAUUAUCUUGACUCUGGUUAUCGUAGUGUCUGUAUCAUAAAAAUAAGAUUUGAAGUUUCCCUUCUCCUUAUGACUUGCUAUCCUGGUUUGCAAUAGUGCUUAUUGUAACAUUAUACAGGAAUGUAGAUGGAAUUUAUUAGAAACAAAGACUUUUGAAAAUACGUACUAGAUAAAUAAACUUGACUCCCUGCCCUACCAACAGCUAGGGUGAGUUGUUAAAAAUUGAAAUCAGAUCAUAUCAUUCCCCUACUUGAAAUCCUCCAAGGCCUUCCCACUCCUAAAAUCAAAUCCAACACAUCAUCCCGCCUGUGAUGCUAGGGCAUGCCAAGCUUCCUGCAACUUCUCAGAUCUCAUCUCCUGCCUCUUGUUCCUGCAUUCAUUAUAUUCCUGCCGCAGUUACCUUAUCUGCUGAUGCUUUAACUCAGCGGUUAUCAAACUGGGGGAUCUGCAGCAUCAGCCUUGCAUGGGAAGUUGUUAGAAUGCAAAUUCUUGGGUCACACCCCAGAUCUAUUGCAUCAGAAAUUCUGAGGGUGGGAUUCAGCCCAUCAGGUGAUUCUGUUGCAUGCUAUAGUUUGAAAAACACUAUUCUAAUUCUUCAAACUCCUUUCUGCCUUAAGAUCUUUGCCCUGGCCAGAUCCUGGGCCUGGUACACUCUUCCCAAGGUUCCUUUCUCAUCAGUCACAUGGCAGCUGCUGAAAUGUUAGCUUAUCACAGAGACCUACAUUGACCAUCCUGUUUAAAGUAAGCCUCCUUACUCUUCCUCAUCCCAAUCUAUGCCAUUAUCCUUUUCAUUUCUCCUUAGAACUAUCUGAAAUGAUCUUGCUAAUUUAUUUACUUAUUAUUUUAUUUUUA